UGUUGCGAUAUAAUAUGGCUCCUACAUUUCUAUGACAAUGCAAAUAAUAAUUCUGUGUGCUUCCACAGUGGGCACAGGUGCAGUUUCAUCAAAAGCCAGCCAGACGAUCUUCGAAUAGCAAACCCGAAGGCAGAGAUGGUGUCUGGGGCACAUUGCUAGGGUUCAGUCUAAAGCAGGAAAAGAGUUAUAUGUGUCCUGUAGCUGACAGCCCACAUGGUUUAAGACGAUUCAAGAAGAGGCUGGAUGAGAUCCCUGCCACUAGAGAAAGAGGCUCAAUGGUCUCCCCUUGUUUGUAACCUUACAAGGUUCAUCUGAGGUUAUUUUCCUUUUGAAAAACGUGCCAAUCGAACAAGCAUUUUUAAACCUCUUUUAAGGUGUUGACAUUUGAGUACUAGAAAUAGCUUUACAUAGACUUCCAAAUGCAUUGUUGAAUUCAGCUCAAUAAUGCCUUCUCUCCCUGUGACUAGUUUCUAGUGAUGAAUCUGCCACAGUUAUGAAUUCUAAUUCGGAACUAAUUCUAGUUAGGAAUUAG
rnacentral:lncRNA from 1 species